AGCUGAGGUGAGGUGGUCAUAUAUCUUGUAUAUCACAUAGCUGAGGUGAGGUAGUCAUAGCACUUGUAUAUUACUGAGAUGAGGUGGUCAUAUAUCUUGUAUAUCAUAUAGCUGAGGUGAGGUGGUCAUAUAUCUUGAUUAUCACAAAGCUGAGGUGAGGUGGUCAUAUAUCUUGUAUAUCUCAUAGCUGAGGUGAGGUGGUCAUAUAUCUUGUAUAUCAUAUAGCUGAGGUGAGGUGGUCAUAUAUCUUGUAUAUCAUAUAGCUGAGGUGAGAUGGUCAUAUAUUUUGAAUAUAACAUAGCUGGGAUGAGGUGGUCAUAUAUCUUGUAUAUCACAUAGUUGAGGUGAGGUGGUCAUAUAUCUUGUAUAUCAUAUAGCUGAGGUGAGGUGGUCAUAUAUCUUGUAUAUCACAUAGCUGAAGUGAGGUGGUCAUAUCACCUGUAUAUCACAUAGCUGAGGUGAGGUGGUCAUAUGUCUUGUAUAUCACAUAGCUGAGGUGAGGUGGUCAUAUAUCUUCUAUAUCACAUAGCUGAGGAGGUCAUAUCACCUGUAUAUCAUAUAGCUGAGGUGAGGUGGUCAUAUAUCUUGUAUAUAACAUAGCUGAGGUGAGGUGGUCAUAUAUCUUGUAUAUCAUAUAGCUGAGGUGAGGUGGUCAUAUAUCUUGUUUUAAACAUAGCUGAGGUGAGGUGGUCAUAUAUCUUGUAUAUAACAUAGCUGAGGUGAGGUGGUCAUAUAUCUUGUAUAUCACAUAGCUGAGGUGAGGUGGUCAUAUAUCUUGUAUAUCACAUAGCUGAGGUGAGGUGGUCAUAUAUCGUGUAUAUCACAUAUCUGACAUGAGGUGGACAUAUAACUUGUUUUUACCACUAGAGGUGUCUUUUGUCCAUUAACAAUCCCGGACAAUUUGAUUGGGAAAAGCGGGUAACAAGCCUUGGUCCAGGGUUUUGUGUUGCUGCAUAAAGCGCGUCACCUAGCUGAGGAGAGGUGUCACAUCACUUACAGUCAUAGUAUUGAAUGGGUUGGAUUUACAAAGGGUUAGGUCCAGCAGAGCAGAUUCAUAAUAUGAUCGUUUGUGGAUGGCUUAUUCCCAAUGUAAUGGUUACCCAAUGGGUUUUUUCUACAUUCUAUCCUGGGCCCAUUUGCUAUCAUGGCUUAGUUUUGAAAGUGAUGUCAAGCUCCCUGAUCAGUUACCUCCUUAGAAGCUUGGGUGUACAGUUGGUCCUUAGUAACCUAUGGUUGAUGUAAUAAACAGCUUAAUGGAUCUUGUGGUCAGACUCAGUGACAUGGUUGAAUGAGCGUCAUCAUACCCUGAUGGAUUGGGAUGUUGUUCAUAAUGUCAACCACUGGUUUCUCUGGGCCAGAAGCU